CAAAGCACUUUGAAGAGAGAGUUAAAGAGGACGUGAAACCGAUGAGGUGGAAACGGACAGAGCUGGCGUAUCUGGCCUGCAUUCAGCCGCGACCCGCUGGCGUCAGGGAUGCCGCUCUCCAGAUUGGGACGGUGGUCUGACUGCUCGGCGGGUUUGUGGUGCAUUUGCAGGUGGAGUGCGCCGAGGCGCUCGGUGCAGCGGCAUGAGCUUGGCUUUGAGGCCAGCCCGCAAGGUGUCUGGAACCCGGGCCAGGGGAGUGCUGUUUGUGCUGGGUGUACAAGAGGGCAAUGGUCUCGGGCUCGUGUGGGUGCCGAGCUGGCGGUCGGCGGCGGUCGCAUGCGACACGUGCCAGCUGUUAGUUCGGUCCUGCUUGAGCUCACAUCUGCUCGUCCUCGGUGUAAAAGCCGGUCAUCUGUCCGACCCGUCUUGAAACACGGACCAAGGAGUUUAGCGUGUGCGCGAGUCAUUGGGCGUUGAAAACCCAAAGGCGUAAUGAAAGUGAAUGGAUCCCUUGCGGACCUGAUGUGUGAUCCCGGACACUGCGGUGUGCUGGGCGCAACAUAGUCCCGUCCCG
rnacentral:rRNA from 1 species